UACGAAGGGGGCUAGCGUUGUUCGGAAUCACUGGGCGUAAAGCGCACGUAGGCUGAUUGGUCAGUUGGGGGUGAAAUCCCGGGGCUCAACCUCGGAACUGCCAUCAAUACUGCCAGUCUUGAGUCCGAGAGAGGUGAGUGGAAUUCCUAGUGUAGAGGUGAAAUUCGUAGAUAUUAGGAAGAGCACCAGUGGCGAAGGCGGCUCACCGGCUCGGUACUGACGCUGAGGUGCGAAAGCGUGGGGAGCAAACAGG
rnacentral:rRNA from 1 species